rnacentral:lncRNA from 1 species
CUCUAUGUACUGACAAAAUGACUCGUGAAUAAAAAUAUUUUAUAGAUAGAUGUAGGUCAUGAGGACAAACUUAGCCCAUCACUAUGAUAACCUUAAAUACUUGGAAGAGCAAAGUUCUUGGCGAAACAGUUGGAUGAACGCUUGAAAACCCUAGCCUACUCCUCUUGGAUCCUGUCUCUAAGACUUGGAAGCGUUAAUGAAUGUAAAAGAAUUGAUUAACACUCUUUAAACCCUUUACUAGUUGUAGAAACAUCAUAAUUUAG